UCAGAGCGAACGCUGGCGGCAGGCCUAACACAUGCAAGUCGAACGGAUCCUUCGGGAUUAGUGGCGGACGGGUGAGUAACACGUGGGAACGUGCCCUUUGGUUCGGAACAACUCAGGGAAACUUGAGCUAAUACCGGAUGUGCCCUUCGGGGGAAAGAUUUAUCGCCUUGGAGCGGCCCGCGUCUGAUUAGCUAGUUGGUGAGGUAAAGGCUCACCAAGGC
rnacentral:rRNA from 1 species